rnacentral:lncRNA from 1 species
GGCAAAAAGCCAUGCUGUGGUAGGCGUGUGGUAGGCACAUAUAAAAUAGAGGAAGAUGGGCAUGGAUGUUAGCUCAGGGCCAGUCUUCCUCAGCAAAAAGAGGAGGACUGGCAGUAGUUAGCUCAGGGCUGAGCUUCCUCAAAAAAAAAAAAAGACUCACAUAUGGCGGAGUUUCCAAGGCAGUAGGUAGAAACCCCCUCACGCUCUGUGGCUUCCACAUUCCGUGUUCCACAUUGCUGAGAAGCCUCUGAGGCCAGGCAGCCCUCUUUAGCUCUGCCGUGGUCAGUCUGCAACUGGAGUUCCUGGCUUUCAGUUUCCAGCAGUUCUGGAGCUCUCCCUUUCAGGAGCCCUCUCUGCAGAGGGCCCGAGGCCUUCGCAGCCGCAUCCGGGGGGAUGGCCCAGCACUGAGCCCCGAUGACUGGCCUGGAGCGCAGCUGACCUCAGACUCAAACCUCCACAAGGCCGCAGACAGCAGAGAGCAGGGCAAGCCCCAGACUGCACGGCUGGGACCCCAAGAUAGACAUUACAAGAAGGCGGCCUUUCCCCACAAUAAGGAAGCCCUGUGUAAAGCUGCAGAUGGGGCUCCUGUAAAGGAGCUCACGUCCUUUCUCUGGGAGACUGCAAGCAGGGGCAGAACAUUCUGGAAAAGAAGCCUCAGUGGGAAGUUGGAGUCAGUCGACUUUGCAGUCCCACUCGAGCCGUGACUUCCUGGGGGUCCAUAAAGGAACUGCAAGAGACCACGGUCGCCUGGAUGCCUCUCCAAGAUGUCAUCUUAGGAGCAGUGACAUUUCAGAUGAAGCCAUUUGUAAGGGAAGCCCCUUCCCAUUUUUCAGUUCCUGAAUAAAC